GAAGGGGGCUAGCGUUGCUCGGAAUUACUGGGCGUAAAGGGCGCGUAGGCGGACAGUUUAGUCAGAGGUGAAAGCCCAGGGCUCAACCUUGGAAUUGCCUUUGAUACUGGCUGUCUUGAGUUCGGGAGAGGUGAGUGGAAUGCCGAGUGUAGAGGUGAAAUUCGUAGAUAUUCGGCGGAACACCAGUGGCGAAGGCGACUCACUGGCCCGAUACUGACGCUGAGGCGCGAAAGCGUGGGGAGCAAACAGGAUUAGAUACCCUGAUAGUCCACGCUGUAAACGAUGAGUGCUAGUUGUCGGCAUGCAUGCAUGUCGGUGACGCAGCUAACGCAUUAAGCACUCCGCCUGGAGAGUACGGUCGCAAGAUUA
rnacentral:rRNA from 1 species